ACAGAAGGUAACUAAUGGAUGAAUGAUAAAAAAACAGUAUAUUAUAGCUUUACCUACAGCAGAGCAAGAAGAAUAUAUUAAAAAAGUGGCAGGGCUGGGAGUGAACGGAAGGUAUGGAUGUGGAGUGAAUGCGCUUAGCUUCUCUUUGUUAUAGUGCUACUGCAUGUCCGAAUAAUAAUAAAAAAACCCGGUAGGGUAGGGAGUCGAUGGAGGUGUGGGCGUAUGGGCGUAAGAAUAAUGGUUAGAAUUUUGAUAUUUUGAUAAAAAAAAGUAACUAAAAAUUGAUAGUUUUUAAAAGUUAAGUGGUUAAAAUAGACGUUACUUGUGUCGGACAUUUUUUCAUCGCAUGUGUGAACCUAGACUACACAGUGCUAUCUUCAUGUCCUUUAUGAUAUCCGCACCGAAUAUAAUAGUUUCGCGGGUAGUGAUAAGGACUCUAUCAAAAGCGAUAAAUAUCUCUGUUGUAACUUUGUCUGCAACUUAGAUCCGCCAUAUUUUAUUCUUCUAAAUUUAAAUAAUUUAAAAAUUGCACAAUUAUUUUUUUUUUGAUUUAAAUGUAUCUUAUUGUGCUCAUACCAAAGAUUUCUUUUCUAGAAUGAUAAUUAUCGUCUGUCUGCCCAAAAUGGUACAACAGUAACGAGACACACAAAAUGCGGUAUAUUAAGGACAGGCGAACCUGUGGAUUUAUUCACGACCCACCGAAUUUUUUGUAUAAUGAUAGUUGUCGUUUGUCUGUCUCUACGCAAAAUGGUACCGGUGUAGCGAGAUACAUGAUAUGCGGUAUAUAAACACACCGUUACAGUCACAGUUUCGUAUCUCAAGAUUUGUCCCAUAUAUGGUGAAAUUGUGUCCAUAUAAGGCAAAUGUUUUCGUCUAGGAAAAAAAUAAUGGCGCGACAGCUGCAGCAGAAUGUAAAGGCAGUUCUGGCUCGGAUUUUAAACGUUCUUGCUGGAAAAACUGAAUAUUAUGGGAGUCACAAGGAAUGCUAACUAUAUACAACAGGAUCUUGGGAAGAAAUGACAUUUGCGAUGUGAAUAAUGAGACAUGAAAUGGAUCUACGAAAAGAUUGGCAUACAAAUUUAGCAGCACAUUCUAUGGUCAUAGAGGAAGACAAUAUGUUACCUUAGUUAUAUAUAUUUUUUUCAUUUGUUAUAUAUCUUAUACUCAGUAGCAGCAUGAACACUGAAUAUGAAAAAGCUAGACACGAAACUUAUAAAAACUUAAAUUAAUUUUUGUUCCAAUGCAGUCAAGCAUGUAUAUAUGUAAACCAAAAACAUAUUUGCUUUAUUUUAUGUAUAUAAAAUAGUUUUAUUGAAAGCACUUCUUUUCUAUUCCUAAGGCAGAUUUUCAAAUAGAAUUUAUUAAGUAUUUAAACACAUUGAAGUCAGUAAGAAGUCUGUGUUAAAUAUCAAGAGCUUUGUUAGCUGAACUUUGACAUUAUAUAUAGAAAAAGUUAUUAACACCUUUUACACCUACACACACUACAUAUCUUGGUAAAGUCGUAACGAUGUUAGCUCCUUGGUGUGAACAAGGCGAUAAGAUCAGUGACAAUAACAAUUUCAUGACAGUUAGAUAUUAUGUCAACAAAAUUAUGAAACAAACAAUGAUAGAAGCUCCAGUACAGUAAUUGUAUUAUAAUAUACGUGGAUAUUUUUUACUUUUGUAAAUAUUCAGGCUUCUAUAUAAAAUCACGCACCAUAUUUAAUAAUAGAUUUUAGGCUUGGCACUUUUGUAACCUGAUAAUGUUACUUUAUAUCGUUUUGCACAA